CUCUGCAAGACUCCGAUUCGGCGGUCAACGGGUGCUUGGAGCUUGUGAAAGGAACCACCCAAGCUUCGGAAUCACGUGCAAUUCCCGUCAUAAAUCUUCGAGGAACACACCGCCCUCGUCCCAUUUCCACAAAGCAGGCGUCGGUCAUGCACAGUGGCAUCUUCCGAUGGUAGCAAUCUCCUCCCAUUGGGUCGGAAGCAACGAGGGAGCUUCCCUUCUCCACGUAUAAAUUCCAACCUCCGCUGGCAGUAACACAGCAAGCAAACAACAUCUCCUCCUUGUGUCUCGAUCUCGAGAGAGAGAGAAGUGGUGUUUAGCAUGGGAGGAGGAAGCAAAUCCUUGAUCACCUUCCUCGGCUUCAAGGGGGCUGCAAGCCGUUCCCGGAAGAGUCACGAGGCUGAGCCGAAACCGACGCAGGAUUCCAGAAGGAGCUACUGAUAGAAAUAAUAGAAGAUAAGAACAAUAUAAUAUAAGAAGCUUUAUUGAAGUAGAUAAACUUUAGUUUGAAUACAUUAACAUGUUCCUCUCCUGAUUAAGAGGAAGGAUUUUCCUCAACAGAAUAGAGGAUUUUCCUCAACAGAAUAGAUAAGAUUUCCUUAUAUAGUGGGGAAAUCUGAUCUUCUAUCAUGCCCCCGCAAGAUGGAAGAUGGUGCUCCUGACAAGGAUACCAAUCUUGGAUCGGUAAGAAAGAGGCUUCGUGAAGAUCGCUGCUGCUGUUGCUGCGAUUGCUGUUGCUGUGAUGGCACAAGCGUUCCCUUCAUUCUUCUUAAGUCUGUCGAAUGUUGACAGAUCAGCGAAGACUACCGCGACGAGGAAGAUGAGGAUUGACCACGGAGCCUCUUAGGAAUGCAACGGCGUUGGUCGCUGGCCGAAGGGUGAAGCUUCACUUUUCUCAGCGACAUUGGUCACUUGCCGAAGGCAAGAGCGAAGCUUCGCUUUUCUCAACGACGUUGGUCGUGGUUGCGAUUACGACGGCUGCGACGGUAGAGAAGAAAUCUACAACAAUGUUGCAGUGAUGCUACUACAGCAAAGGAGGAAACUGCAACAGAGGAGGAAGCUGUAGUAGAAGAGGAAACUGUAGCAGAAGAGAAAGGAAAAUAGCUACAACGACGAAGAAAGGUGGGGCAGUGCUCAUGAGCAGCACUAGAGAUGCCGUAGCGGAAGGGAACGGACGUUGGCGCAGAGUGGCAACACCAAUGAUGAAUUGGCAGCGAGAAGAGAGCUUGCUCUAGGCAAGCGGCUCUGAUACCAUGAUAGAAAUAAUAGAAGAUAAGAACAAUAUAAUAUAUUCCUCUCCUAUUUAUAGGAUUAAGAGGAAGGAUUUUCCUCAACAGAAAAGAGGAUUUUCCUCAACAGAAUAGAUAAGAUUUCCUUAUAUAGUGGGGAAAUCUGAUCUUCUAUCAGCUACGAGGCAGACGCAGAAGCAAAGCAGCCGCGGACGAAGGUUCGCCGGAGCGACGACGACCUCGGUGGCUCUUGGAUUGCGGAGCCUGACAUAGACAGGAAAGCGGAAGAGUUCAUCGUCAGGGUCCACCGCCGGAUGAACCCGGAGCUGCACCUGGUCGCGGUGUAACCCUCCAUAACGUUGUCUCUUCUCCGAGAUCUAUCUAUUACGUACAAGAACCUGGUUCAAUAGCAACAAUGAAAUCGACUAGUUCUCAGUUUGUAGAACUUAUAGGGAUAAUUAUACCCAUAUUUUCUUCCAAAAUAAUGAUAAUAAAGAGAAAUGUGUUCAUAUUUAUCUGUCCAUAGCCUAAAGAGGAAGAAAGAAAGUAGUCUACCUUGAAUGAUUCCUCCUCGGCAAGGUGUGAAGAAGAGUGAGUUCUU
rnacentral:lncRNA from 1 species